rnacentral:rRNA from 1 species
AUUGAACGCUGGCGGCAGGCCUAACACAUGCAAGUCGAGCGGAUGAAGGGAGCUUGCUCCUGGAUUCAGCGGCGGACGGGUGAGUAAUGCCUAGGAAUCUGCCUGGUAGUGGGGGAUAACGUCCGGAAACGGGCGCUAAUACCGCAUACGUCCUGAGGGAGAAAGUGGGGGAUCUUCGGACCUCACGCUAUCAGAUGAGCCUAGGUCGGAUUAGCUAGUUGGUGGGGUAAAGGCCUACCAAGGCGACGAUCCGUAACUGGUCUGAGAGGAUGAUCAGUCAACAUGGAAAUGAGAAAAGGGCCAGACUCCUACGGGAGGCAGCAGUGGGGAAUAUUGGACAAUGGGCGAAAGCCUGAUCCAGCCAUGCCGCGUGUGUGAAGAAGGUCUUCGGAUUGUAAAGCACUUUAAGUUGGGAGGAAGGGCAGUAAGUUAAUACCUUGCUGUUUUGACGUUACCAACAGAAUAAGCACCGGCUAACUUCGUG